UUGUGUACACAGAGGCCAAAGGGACCCAGAGACCUGAUGCAGUGGUCUGGAGUCACCUGGCUCCUAAAGCCCAGGGCCACCAACCUCUGACCGGUGACAGUCUCUGUGCUGAGCCCAACUCCUUCCCCAGCAAAUUCUCAUUCUUGUUGCGGAGAUGUCUAAUACUCUGGGCUAGUUUGGAAAACAAACCCAUAAAAUUAUCUUUAGCUAAAAGUCGAACAGCAAGUUGGGUGAAAAUCAUUGCCACAAAUAAGACCGGGAUUAACCUUAAUAUGCAGUCAGUAAGAAAACCUGAAUAUUCCACCGGAUAAACGGGCAAAGAACAUAAAUAAUUAACUCAAAGAAAACUAAUAAGCAGGAGAGAGAAUGCUCAGCCUUGUCUAGAUAUCAAGAAAUGUAAAUGUAAACAAAUUUUAAGAUGUAAUUUCCCCCCCCACCCCCACCCCGUGAUGCUAGCAAAAUACUAAUGGAUGACAUCCACGGCCGGUGCAGGAAGGCUGUGCAGAUCCCUCCUAAAGGAUGCUGGGAAAGCUUAAAUGACCUCAGUCUUGGGUGGCAGCAUGGUGGUAAGUUCCAAGACCCUGUGAGGAGGCACACUGUUUAACUCGGGAUAUCAGGUAAGUGCAGUGCAUGCUUUGGGCACAAGGCUGCUCAUCACAAAAAUGGAAAUUAUCUAUAUUUUCACGGAGAGUGGAGAGUUGGAGAGUGUGAUCUGUCCAGGUGAUGUAAUAUUAGUCAUCCAUUUAAACACUAGGUGAAAAGACAGGCUAAAAGAUGGAUAUGGUUGAAAAUUUUGAAGGAAAUAAACCGAAAUGUUAAUAGUGAGUAUCUCUUGGUCAAUUCAUAGACGAGCCUUGUUUUCUUCUCUACAGUUUUCUGAGCACUUAAUAUUCCAUGAGUGUCAGGAGUGGGGUCACUUUGGCACUGAGGAAAAUCAAUGUGACCAACCAAGUCUGAUGCCUUUAUUUUCUACUCUCCAAAGCAAAUUAAACCAUGUGCUUAAUGACCACUAGACCCAGAGAGAUUAAGCUGUUACCAAAGUCACAGACUAAGUCAGGCAUUGAGCCUGAUUAUUGUAUCUAAUCAUAAUACUGUGUGUAACUAUGUUUAUUUUUUAUUUUAGCUUCCAUUUAGCACAUGUUUAUCAAAUGCCAGGUACUCUGCUAAAUGCUAAACGCUUUAUGUAUAUUAUCUCAUUUAGCCACGUGGUGCAAGUCAGGUUCAUUCCUAUUUAUGGAUGUGAAUACUGAGGUUUAGAGAGAAAGUGCAUGCCCAGGGCUCACUCACAGGCCCACCUCUUGGCACAGCUCUGAGUGCCCUAGCACGCUGCCUCUACAGUUGGUCAGUGCUCAAACUGCACAGCCUGCCAGGGGCUGCCAAUAUUCUAGAAGGGUUUGCCUGGCCUUCAACGAAGCCCAUAGUCUUAAUCUUCCUGACAUGUCACUUCUCCUUUGUGGAAGUGUCCCCCCUUCCAAGAUGCCUCCCUCACUCUGAGCUUCUCAAGGACAGAGAGAUGUCUUUGCUGAGAUAUGGUCCCACUUGACAGUUUUCCCCAGAAGUUCUCCUAUGUGCCUGGUAUUGUGCUAACAGCCAGGAAACAUGAUCAUAAGAAGAAAAUGUGAAGUGUGGGAAGUGUAUCCAAUUUAAUACCAUUUUGAGGAAUGACGCAUUGUGAAGACGCAGCAUUUUUGCAUGCCUGAUUGUGAAACCUGCAAUGCCAAAGCGAAGGCGGUGGCUUUGCUGAGUCCAUUCUUUCCCUCCUCAAGGGCCCAGAUGUCCCUGCAGCCCUCAGUGAUGAGCUGGGGGCAGCAAAUGGGGUAGAAAGGAGACACGUUUCUGCUUGAAACGUGCUGAGUGCUUAUGGAACGGGGAGAGGAGGACGCUCCAGAACCAAGCAAAAUCAGGCCCGAGCGCUAAGGAUACUUCUAACCUGUAGACUAGAGCACACUUCUGCAAUUAAGGUUCUUUAGAAUUAAACUCUUGAAGGGCUUCCAGAAGCACUCUGCGUUUGGGCAUAAGCUAAUCGCUGGCUGUGGUGGGGAAGAAACUGGCCUCUUUCCGCACAUCUGCAAUAGAAGCACGAAGAGAUUUGCCUGUCUUCGUUCAAGACAUCCAGCCCUGGUCACUGUUAAAUUUAGGACAUGAGGCAGGACACUGCCUGGUGCAAUCUGCCAACUCCGAUCUUGCUAUUUGAUUAGUACAACAGUCAGGUGUCUUGGAACAACCAGGUUCUCCCCGCCGUUGCACUCCCCGUCUGAUAGCCACACACUCGGCAACAGACAAGACACCUGUCAAAAUUAAAACCAAGGACAGACCCUCCUGCCGAACUGCUCAUCUGUGGGACUCUCGGGGCCAUCGUUCCGUCGCAGGAAGCGGGUUUCUCUGGACGGCUCUGGUGCAGGGCGAGGUCUACGCAGAAGGGCCUGCGGAGUCUUUCUCUGAAAGACUGCUUCUCCCCUCCCCAGCUGUCUGUCAAGCCCGCCUCUUCUUCUUGCAUGAAGCAGCAGCCGCCAGGCGCUUUGGAAAAUGGAGAUGCCAUUCAGUGGACUUCAGGCUCAAGCUCAAGGAGGAAGGCGAGACAAGACCUUAAAAUCCCUUGGAGCAACUCGGGAACUGCGGGAGCCAGCCCCCAAAUACAGUCCCUAAGCGCUUCCCAAGGGCUCUGCAGCCGGGAGCCACCAGGCAUGCUUCUCUAGCAACUUCCAUCAGAGGACGCCACACGCCGGGGCCUCUCUCUAAGACGAGCCUUGCCACCCUCUCCGUCCGCACGUCGUUCCUUUCUGUCCAACUUGAGGUUCCCCUCCCUGUGGGAAGGGCCCGGGCCACACCCCUGACCUAGCGCUGAGACAGUUUUUGUUGGAGGUAAGAGAGGACGGUGGCCUCAGCAGAAGGAGGGUGUGUAGACAGAAUGCCUCUGGCUCUUCGGCGGGGCCACUGGGAAAGCCUGUGAGCUUCCAGGUCUCUUCUCCAAGUUGGGAGUCGCCAGAACAGCUGCCCCCCGGGGGUCCUGAGGGCCAACGGGAGGGAUAACGGGCAUGUAGAGGAAGUUUGUGAACUAUAAAAUCCGAGCUGAGCGUCACCAGUGGGUGACAGCUGUGAGGAAGUCAGAGCCACAACUCCUUGCCCACUUAACUAGAGGCUGGAAGGUUUCUCUGCCUUUUGGAAGCUGCUUGCCUGGUAAACCAUUCCCAGAGAUCGUCCGUGGGUCUCUGAGAGCCUAAAGCUUCUCCCGCCCCCUGCUUUAGGCUAGGUGUGCGUAGGAGGCCAGGGUCGCAGGACCUGCAGGUAACUUGUAGAGACAGCUGUGUAUAAGCAGGUGGCCACAGGGCCACACCCUGUGACCCACCCCUUCCCAGGUGAUCUGCUUGGGAAGGUCAGGAAGCUGUUGGCAGAGCGGGCGUCCUUCAUCUGAAAGCCACCCCAAAGGUGCGCCACUGAGCUGGUCCUACUGUGAGCACCGCAGCUCAGUCCUGGGGGCUCAGGGGCCAUGGGGAAUGUACCUCUGACUCUGUUACCUGUGAAAAAGAAGGUGAUACUUACCUCCCAGGUCUCAUCCCCAGUUGGUCACCAAGUGUGGUGUUUAUUCCUCUACACCUGCUGGUUGGCACAGGAGUUGGAACAGGUGAGAGAGUCUGCAGGUGCCCCUGCAGCAGCUGAGGACGGGGCUGUCGGAUGCACCUGCCUUGGUUGAUGUGGCCAUCACUCAGGGCUUGGAGGAAAAACACCUCAUGGAAGAUGACUUGCCAAACCAGACCCACCCGCCUGUAAAUCCAGCAACAUGAAUAAACCAAGAGACUCAACGAGCAGGAGAGGAUAGAGCAAACUGAGAAGGAUGUCAAAGUCACUGGUUGUUAAAGACUCCACGAGAUUAAAAAAAAAAAAAACCAGACUGGUAUGUAUGCGACAAUACCAAGAAGCUACGGUAAGAGAUGAGGUGGCUAUAAAACAAGAAGACAUAGUUACUAAAAAUGAAACCAACUAGAAGCUGGGAAAAUGAAAAGUAUGGUUAUGGAAGAACUCAGUGGUGGACUAGAUCAGCCGUCCUCAACCUGUUUGGUGCCAGGGACCAGUUUCAUGGAAGACAAUUUUUCCAUGGACUCAGGUGGGGAAGCUCAGGUGGAGACAUGAGCAAUGGGGAGUGGCUGUAAAUACACUCCCUCACCUGCUGCUCACCUGCUGUGUGGACCCCCCAACCCCAGGUUCCUAAAAUAUAAGUUUCAUGGAAGACAAUUUUUCCAUGGACAGGGGUGGGGGAAGUGGGGGAAGGGAGGCAGAGCUCUGCAGCACAGUCCCUAACAGGCCAUGGACCGGUACCAGUCCGCAGUCCAGGGGUUGGGGCCCACAGGACUAAAUAGUUAACAAGUCACUGAAUAAAAACAACGAAUUAACUACAGACAGAGGCACGGCAAUGGCCUGGACCGAAGUGCAGAGUCAGAGAGCCAUAAAGGGGAACACAGGACAGGGCAAUGGGAACAGCUGGAGAAGACCCAAUGGACCCCUUGGUGAGAUUUGGGAAGAGAAAACAGACAUGAUGAUGUG